rnacentral:misc_RNA from 1 species
UCGUAACAAGGUCUCCGUUGGUGAACCAGCGGAGGGAUCAUUACAGAGUUACUACUCCAAACCCAUUGUGAACCUUACCUAUGUUCUGUUGCCUCGGCGGCGUCGGUCAGCGCCCCUCUGAAAAGAGGACGAUGCCCCUCCCGCCGGCAGCACCAAACUCUUGAAUUUUACAGCGGAUUACAGUUCUGAUUUGAAAACAAAAAACAAGUUAAAACUUUCAACAACGGAUCUCUUGGUUCUGGCAUCGAUGAAGAACGCAGCGAAAUGCGAUAAGUAAUGUGAAUUGCAGAAUUCAGUGAAUCAUCGAAUCUUUGAACGCACAUUGCGCCCGGCAGUAAUCUGCCGGGCAUGCCUGUCCGAGCGUCAUUUCAACCCUCGAACCUCCGUUUCCUUAGGGAAGCCUAGGGUCGGUGUUGGGGCGCUACGGCGAGUCCUCGCGACCCCCGUAGGCCCUGAAAUACAGUGGCGGUCCCGCCGCGGUUGCCUUCUGCGUAGUAAGUCUCUUUUGCAAGCUCGCAUUGGGUCCCGGCGGAGGCCUGCCGUCAAACCACCUAACAACUCCAGAUGGUUUGACCUCGGAUCAGGUAGGGUUACCCGCUGAACUUAAGCAUAUCAAUAAGCGGAGGAAAAGAAACCAACAGGGAUUGCCUCAGUAACGGCGAGUGAAGCGGCAACAGCUCA